rnacentral:rRNA from 1 species
ACAGAGGUCCCGAGCGUUGUUCGGAUUCACUGGGCGUAAAGCGUGCGCAGGCGGUGAUGUAAGACAGGUGUGAAAUCCCCGGGCUUAACCUGGGAACUGCAUUUGUGACUGCAUCGCUGGAGUGCGGCAGAGGGGGAUGGAAUUCCGCGUGUAGCAGUGAAAUGCGUAGAUAUGCGGAGGAACACCGAUGGCGAAGGCAAUCCCCUGGGCCUGCACUGACGCUCAUGCACGAAAGCGUGGGGAGCAAACAGGA